GUUGUGUUUAAAAGAAGGAACUAGCAGUACAUUGUGAAGAGUGAUGGAAGGAGUCAGUGCAAAAGAGCCAGUGCAUGUUACUUUCACUUUAUAGCCAUUAGGAAGAGUGACAAGAUAUGGCAGAGUUAAAGGUGUGAUGUUAAAAAGUAACUGCUUAUCAUAUGUCAUGUGAUUAGAGGCACCUGAAUCUAUAAUCCAGGUGACAGAAUCAAUAUUGGUAAGUAAGCAGAGUUUGGAAUCAAAAAUGGGGCUCUCAGUUAAUAUAGUACCAGCAAAGUUAGCAGCAUACAUGGGAGGAGGAGUCUGAGCAGUGGAUUCCCCUAAC
rnacentral:lncRNA from 1 species